AAGAGAAAGAGUUUCUAGAAGAAAGCACAGAAAAGCUCAGCAGCAGCUGUUGGCUCUGAGCAGAGCCCACACUGCUGGAAUGUGCAGUGGGUUUCUGUGGUCUCCAGGCUGUGUUGGCCCACAGGGCUUUCCUGGCUGUUCACAUAUGCGUGUGCUGCUGUACAGCCAGUUAGUGUGAUAACAUGUCCUGAAGUACAUUCCUGCAUCCAAACUUAAGGAGCAUUUGGUUGUAAAUGACAGUAUUUACAGGUGGGUGGCCCAGGUGUCUACAAAGACAAUGUGGCAGGUGGGAAAGGUAAUGGAAGUGAUGGAGGAGACUGUGGCAGGGGAAGGGAAAAGUUAGGCUUAUCACUCAUUCUAUUUCUUCUCCUACCAUAGCCAUCAAAGUGAAGGUUGAAUUUUAACCUCAAGAUGUGACUAAAAUGCUCCUUGCUGGGAGCUGGUGGAUUUUGCAUUCUUUCCCAAGGUGAGAGCUGUCACCAGAUGACAAAUACCACAGCCCCAACAGCAUCUUCAAAACAGAUUUUUCCUUUGAAAUGCGUCAGCAUGGAACAGCUUAUUUGUGGUGGUCCAGUUUUGCUUCCCACAGCAGAUCCAGCAGGAUAAGCACUCCAGCUGCAGCUGCUCAUUCCACAGGAGCUUGACAGCUCUAUGAACCAAGCCAGCCACAGCAGCACAUCAGCCAGCAGUGGGUAAAAGACAGUGCUUACACCUAAAAGAGCAAUUUGAAAUCAAUGCUGAUUAAUUGCAGGGGUCAUCCAAUCAGGGAGGAUGCAAUUUAGAGAAGACUAAUGGUCUUGGGGUUAAGGAACUUGCUGCCUUCUCAGGUGAUUUCAGUUUAAUUAUUGCUUCAGUUCUCGACUUCCUAAUUAAGUCAAUUAAUCUCUCCUGUUCUGUGAACUUCAUCUCUAGAAGAGGCUAAUUGCAGCUGACUCUUUUGCCUUUUUAGUUUUUCAGUUCUUUGUGGUAAGAAUUAAUUGUUCCUGUUUUAUUUUUAUCCUUGCUGGGAUGUAGACCUCUGUACCGGUUAAGAUAAGCCAUAAUAUAGGACUAAUUUUUAUUUGCUGGGAGACAUUCACCAAAGUUGCCAGAGUGGAGAAAAAUGGACAUCUCUAUAGGCCAGGUCUCACAGGUCUUAAAUUCGGUUAUUGCUUUAGAUGAAAAACUUGGAUGUUCAUGCAGAGUGUUCAGCAUAAGCCUGACAGAUGUGCAGCCCUGACCUAUACACCAGGUAGUUCAAGGUGUCCCUGCACAGUGCUGUGUUCCUGGAGGAGCUAGCUGUCCAGGGCUGAUUAUAAAAGUAAUUACAUUAUGGUUGCCAGUGCUGACCCUCUCUGACUGUCAGGCACUGAAAACUGAUGGACAAGAAUUACAGUCAACCAAAUGCAUACAGAAAAGUUGUGAAUUUCUGAAUUCUUUUGCAGAUAUCUGAGAAAAGAGGCAAAAGUUGCCAGGCAAGAAAUCUAUCAUCUAAAAAAGAGCAAACCCAAAAUUGUUUGAUGAACUUUUACAGAGGAUUCUGCAGUUGGGAGUGGACUGGCUUUACUUUGCUCAUAGUUGGGGACAGCAGUGGAGGGUGAGAGACUAUCAAAGUCUGUUUCAACCCACAGAAACCUACGAGGACUUUCAGGGAGCUGGCCAGGAGCAAGCCUAAAGUGUUCCUUCCAGUGUGUUCACGAGUGCAAGCACCGGUCUCUGACUCCAACAGACUUUUGAAUCUCUGGAGCAAGAAAGUCUCCCUUGUAGAUCAAAGUCAAAACUGCUCAAAAAUGAUUGUUUUUUCACAUCUCCUCAGCUCCGACCUGAAGAGUUGUUUAAGGGUGGUGAGUUGUCAGUCUCAAAUAAGAGAGGGGUACAGACCUAUUUUAAGGUGUGUGAA